GUGUCAGCAGCCGCGGUAAAACGUAGGAGGCGAGCGUUAUCCGGAUUCACUGGGCGUAAAGCGCGUGCAGGUGGCUUGGUAAGUUAGGCGUGAAAUCUCCCGGCUCAACUGGGAGAGGUCGUCUAAUACUACCGGGCUUGAGAGCAGAAGAGGAAGAUGGAAUUCCCGGUGUAGUGGUGAAAUGCGUAGAUAUCGGGAGGAACACCAGUGGCGAAGGCGAUCUUCUGGUCUGUUUCUGACACUCAGACGCGACAGCUAGGGUAGUAAACGGGAUUAGAGACCCCGGUAAUCCUAGCCGUAAACGAUGUAAACUUGGCGUUGGUGGGUUAAACUCCAUCAGUGCCGCAGCAAACGCGAUAAGUUUACCGCCUGGGGACUACGGCCGCAAGGUUAAA
rnacentral:rRNA from 1 species